UAGGGAAUCUUCCACAAUGGGCGCAAGCCUGAUGGAGCAACACCGCGUGAGUGAAGAAGGGUUUCGGCUCGUAAAGCUCUGUUGUUAAAGAAGAACACAUAUGAGAGUAACUGUUCAUACGUUGACGGUAUUUAACCAGAAAGUCACGGCUAACUACGUGCCAGCAGCCGCGGUAAUACGUAGGUGGCAAGCGUUAUCCGGAUUUAUUGG
rnacentral:rRNA from 1 species